rnacentral:rRNA from 1 species
AGUGAACGCUGGCGGUAGGCCUAACACAUGCAAGUCGAACGGCAGCACAGUAAGAGCUUGCUCUUACGGGUGGCGAGUGGCGGACGGGUGAGGAAUACAUCGGAAUCUACUUUUUCGUGGGGGAUAACGUAGGGAAACUUACGCUAAUACCGCAUACGACCUACGGGUGAAAGCAGGGGAUCUUCGGACCUUGCGCGAUUGAAUGAGCCGAUGUCGGAUUAGCUAGUUGGCGGGGUAAAGGCCCACCAAGGCGACGAUCCGUAGCUGGUCUGAGAGGAUGAACAGCCACACUGGAACUGAGAAACGGGUCAGAAUCCUACGGGAGGCAGCAGUUGGGAAUAUUGGACAAGGGGCGCAAGCCUGAUCCAGCCAUACCGCGUGGGUGAAGAAGGCCUUUGGGUUGUAAAGGCCUUUUGUUUGGAAAGAAAAGCAGCAGGUUAAUACCCCGCUGUUCUGACGGUACCCAAAGAAUAAGCACCGGCUAACUUCGUG